rnacentral:lncRNA from 1 species
AUGAACUUUAGAGGUACCUUCCAGCCUCAACUAUUCUGUAAUCAACAGGGAAAACUUCAAAACAAGCAUGGAUUUUUUCAUCGGCUAAGAAACGCAUUGGUUCGGGUGUCUCAUGUAGCAUCUUUCCACUGGGAUGUGCCACAGAAAAACCACUACGAGAGUUACUAUCAUAUUCAGUCAUAUUCAAAGGAUAAAUCAUUUCAGCCUCUCCUGGAUGAAAAUUUGGACAGUGGAAUUUACAGAGGUGCUACAGUUGUAUUUCAUCGGCGACAAGAGAUGGAGGAGACCAUGACUGGAUCAUUGGGUGAUGCUCUGGCAUUAUUCUGUAAUGGGAAACCUGAGUUUGAUGUGUUGCUCGUAAACCACAUCUCAAUGACUGUUUAG